rnacentral:rRNA from 1 species
AGCUGCCUACGGGGGGCAGCAGUGGGGAAUAUUGCACAAUGGGGGAAACCCUGAUGCAGCGACGCCGCGUGAGUGAAGAAGUAUUUCGGUAUGUAAAGCUCUAUCAGCAGGGAAGAAAUACUGACCUUACGGUCAGCAGACGGUACCUGACUAAGAAGCCCCGGCUAAAUACGUGCCAGCAGCCGCGGUAAUACGUAUGGUGCAAGCGUUAUCCGGAUUUACUGGGUGUAAAGGGAGCGCAGGCGGCGCGUUAAGCCUGGUGUGAAAGCCCGCGGCCCACCCGCGGGACUGCAUUGGGAACUGGG